AUUAUUAUUACAAGCUUUUAUUUACUUUCACCUGUCCCGUUCUCUGUCUGUCUGUAAUCAAAUCUUGCAAGUUAAAUUUGAUCCACUUCCCGGUUUCCGAUUGAGCUGAAAUUUUGCAUGUACCAUCGAGCUGAUCUGAUGAUGGAGACAGGAGGUGGCCAUAGGAACUCUGUGAUGAAACAACGCAACCUAAUUGUGUUA